AGUCGACGAAUAAGUAGGUGCUUGCAUCUAUGGACUAGUGGCGGCACGGGUGAGUAACGCGUGGGAAUUUGCCCAGAAGUGGGGGACAGCCCGGAGAAAUCCGGAUUAAUACCGCAUACCUUCUACGGAAGAAAGGCUUCGGCCGCUUUUGGAUGAGCCCGCGUUAGAUCAGCUAGUUGGUGGGGUAAGAGCCUACCAAGGCAACGAUCUAUAGCUGGUCUGAGAGGAUGAUCAGCCACAUCGGGACUGAGACACGGCCCGGACUCCUACGGGAGGCAGCAGUGGGGAAUAUUGGACAAUGGACGCAAGUCUGAUCCAGCAAUGCCGCGUGUGUGAAGAAGGCCCGAGGGUUGUAAAGCACUUUCAAUUGUGAAGAAGAUUAUAAGUUUAAUACGCUUGUAGUUUGACGUUAACUUUAGAAGAAGCACCGGCUAACUCUGUGCCAGCAGCCGCGGUAAUACAGAGGGUGCGAGCGUUAAUCGGAAUUACUGGGCGUAAAGCGCGCGUAGGCGGCUUAUUAAGUCAGAUGUGAAAUCCCCGGGCUCAACCUGGGAACUGCAUCUGAUACUGGUAAGCUAGAGUUUUGGAGAGGGAAGUAGAAUUUCAGGUGUAGCGGUGAAAUGCAUAGAGAUCUGAAGGAAUACCAGUGGCGAAGGCGACUUCCUGGCCAAAAACUGACGCUGAGGUGCGAAAGCGUGGGUAGCAAACGGGAUUAGAUACCCCGGUAGUCCACGCCGUAAACGAUGUCAACUAGUCGUUGGACCCCUUGAGGGUUUAGUGACGCAGCUUACGCAUUAAGUUGACCGCCUGGGGAGUACGGUCGCAAGACUAAAACUCAAAGGAAUUGACGGGGGCCCGCACAAGCGGUGGAGCAUGUGGUUUAAUUCGAUGCAACGCG
rnacentral:rRNA from 1 species